rnacentral:tRNA from 1 species
GCGGGUGUGGCGGAAUUGGCAGACGCGCUAGAUUUAGGUUCUAGUGGGCACCCCCGUGCAGGUUCAAGUCCUGUCACCCGCA